rnacentral:rRNA from 1 species
GACGUAGGGCGCGAGCGUUGUCCGGAUUUAUUGGGCGUAAAGAGCUCGUAGGCGGCUUGUCGCGUCGACUGUGAAAACCCGCGGCUCAACCUCAGGCCUGCAGUCGAUACGAGCAGACUAGAGUGUUGCAGGGGAGACUGGAAUUCCUGGUGUAGCGGUGAAAUGCGCAGAUAUCAGGAGGAACACCGGUGGCGAAGGCGGGUCUCUGGGCAACAACUGACGCUGAGGAGCGAAAGCGUGGGGAGCGAACAGG